GACGAACGCUGGCGGCGUGCUUAACACAUGCAAGUCGAGCGGAAAGGCUCCUUCGGGGGUACUCGAGCGGCGAACGGGUGAGUAACACGUGAGUAAUCUGCCCUGCGCUCUGGGAUAGCCACCGGAAACGGUGAUUAAUACCGGAUAUGACCGCUACACGCAUGUGUUGGUGGUGGAAAGUUUUUCGGCGCAGGAUGUGCUCGCGGCCUAUCAGCUUGUUGGUGAGGUAAUGGCUCACCAAGGCUUUGACGGGUUGCCGGCCUGAGAGGGUGACCGGUCACACUGGGACUGAGACACGGCCCAGACUCCUACGGGAGGCAACAGUGGGGAAUAUUGGACAAUGGGCGGAAGCCUGAUCAAGCAACGCCGAGUGAGGGAUGACGGCCUUCGGGUUGUAAACCUCUUUCAGUACCGACGAAGCGAAAGUGACGGUAGGUACAGAAGAAGGACCGGCCAACUACGUGCCAGCCGCCGCAGUAACAC
rnacentral:rRNA from 1 species